rnacentral:rRNA from 1 species
AGCGAAAGAAAGAGGCAGGCCUAACACAUGCAAGUCGAACGAUCCUUCGGGAUAGUGGCGUACGGGGGAGUAACACGUGGGAACGUGCCCUUUGGUACGGAACAACUCAGGGAAACUUGAGCUAAUACCGUAUGUGCCCUACGGGAGAAAGAUUUAUAGCAAUGAGAACGGCCCUCGACUGCUUAGCUAGUUGGUGAGGACAUGGCUCACCAAGGCGACGAUCAGUAGCUGGGCUGAUAGGAUGAUCAGCCAAAAUGGGACUGAGACAAGGCCCAGCCUCCUACAGGAGGCAGGAGGGGGGUAUCUUGCGCAAUGGGCGAAAGCCUGACGCAGCCAUGCCGCGUGAAUGAUGAAGGUCUUAGGAUUGUAAAAUUCUUUCCCCGGGGACGAUAAUGACGGUACCCGGAGAAGAAGCCCCGGCUAACUUCGUGCCAGCCGCCGCCGUAACAC